rnacentral:rRNA from 1 species
GACGAACGCUGGCGGCGUGCUUAACACAUGCGAGUCGAACGGUGAAGCGCCUUCCUUUUUGGUGGGUGUGGAUGAGUGGCGAACGAGUGAGUAACACGUGAGUAACCUGCCCCCUUCUUCUGGAUAACCGCAUGAAAGUGUGGCUAAUACGGGAUAUUCUGGGUCUGUCGCAUGAUGGGUCUGGGAAAGAUAUUGUUUCGGUGGGGGAUGGGCUCGCGGCCUAUCAGCUUGUUGGUGGGGUGAUGGCCUACCAAGGCGGUGACGGGUAGCCGGCCUGAGAGGGUGGACGGUCACACUGGGACUGAGACACGGCCCAGACUCCUACGGGAGGCAGCAGUGGGGAAUAUUGCACAAUGGGCGCAAGCCUGAUGCAGCGACGCCGCGUGAGGGAUGGAGGCCUUCGGGUUGUGAACCUCUUUCGCCAGUGAAGCAGGCCUGCCUCGUUUGUGGGUGGGUUGACGGUAGCUGGAUAAGAAGCGCCGGCUAACUACGUG